GUCGAGCGGUAGCACAGAGAGCUUGCUCUCGGGUGACGAGCGGCGGACGGGUGAGUAAUGUCUGGGAAACUGCCUGAUGGAGGGGGAUAACUACUGGAAACGGUAGCUAAUACCGCAUAACGUCGCAAGACCAAAGUGGGGGACCUUCGGGCCUCAUGCCAUCAGAUGUGCCCAGAUGGGAUUAGCUAGUAGGUGGGGUAAUGGCUCACCUAGGCGACGAUCCCUAGCUGGUCUGAGAGGAUGACCAGCCACACUGGAACUGAGACACGGUCCAGACUCCUACGGGAGGCAGCAGUGGGGAAUAUUGCACAAUGGGCGCAAGCCUGAUGCAGCCAUGCCGCGUGUAUGAAGAAGGCCUUCGGGUUGUAAAGUACUUUCAGCGAGGAGGAAGGCGUUAAGGUUAAUAACCUUGGCGAUUGACGUUACUCGCAGAAGAAGCACCGGCUAACUCCGUGCCAGCAGCCGCGGUAAUACGGAGGGUGCAAGCGUUAAUCGGAAUUACUGGGCGUAAAGCGCACGCAGGCGGUCUGUCAAGUCGGAUGUGAAAUCCCCGGGCUCAACCUGGGAACUGCAUUCGAAACUGGCAGGCUAGAGUCUUGUAGAGGGGGGUAGAAUUCCAGGUGUAGCGGUGAAAUGCGUAAAGAUCUGGAGGAAUACCGGUGGCGAAGGCGGCCCCCUGGACAAAGACUGACNCUCAGGUGCNAAAGCGUGGGGAGCAAACAGGAUUAGAUGCCCUGGUAGNCCCNCCGNAACGAUGUCGACUUGGAGGUUGUGCCCUUGAGGAANAGCUUCCGGAGCUAACGCGUUAAGUCGACCGCCUGGGGAGUACGGCCGCAAGGUUAAAACUCAAAUGAAUUGACGGGGGCCCGCACAAGCGGUGGAGCAUGUGGUUUAAUUCGAUGCAACGCGAAGAACCUUACCUACUCUUGACAUCCAGAGAACUUAGCAGAGAUGCUUUGGUGCCUUCGGGAACUCUGAGACAGGUGCUGCAUGGCUGUCGUCAGCUCGUGUUGUGAAAUGUUGGGUUAAGUCCCGCAACGAGCGCAACCCUUAUCCUUUGUUGCCAGCGGUCCGGCCGGGAACUCAAAGGAGACUGCCAGUGAUAAACUGGAGGAAGGUGGGGAUGACGUCAAGUCAUCAUGGCCCUUACGAGUAGGGCUACACACGUGCUACAAUGGCAUAUACAAAGAGAAGCGACCUCGCGAGAGCAAGCGGACCUCAUAAAGUAUGUCGUAGUCCGGAUUGGAGUCUGCAACUCGACUCCAUGAAGUCGGAAUCGCUAGUAAUCGUAGAUCAGAAUGCUACGGUGAAUACGUUCCCGGGCCUUGUACACACCGCCCGUCACACCAUGGGAGUGGGUUGCAAAAGAAGUAGGUAGCUUAACCUUCGGGAGGCGCUACCACUU
rnacentral:rRNA from 1 species